UACGUAGGCAGCAAGCGUUGUUCGGAAUUACUGGGCGUAAAGAGUGUGUAGGUGGUGUCGUAAGUUUGGUGUGAAAUCUCCCGGCUUAACUGGGAGGGUGCGCCGAAGACUGCGGUGCUGGAGUAUGGGAGAGGAAAGCGGAAUUCCUGGUGUAGCGGUGAAAUGCGUAGAUAUCAGGAGGAACACCGGUGGUGUAGACGGCUUUCUGGACCGUAACUGACGCUGAGACACGAAAGCGUGGGUAGCAAACAGG
rnacentral:rRNA from 1 species